CCUGGUGACCUCUUAGACUUGUUUUGCUUAUCCUCUUGGCUUGAGCUUGCUUCCAAGCGCAGAGAUAGAAGCAAAUUUCCAUUUCUUCAUGUACAUUGGCCAGUUCCUGGUCCUUGUCUGACUUCUACUUUUUCCACAAAAAAAAAAAAACAAAAAACAAACCGGCUAACCCUGUGUGACACCAAACUUUUCCAGAAGACCAGUUAUUGUUAUGACGGAUGAGAAAGUACAGUGUUUUAUCAGCACAUUUGUAUCCAUGUGUUCUGAGUUCUGCAUUAAUCCAGAUCUUAUGCUUUUUAAAGACAUGGCUGGUGUCUUCUUUGUUCAUCAAGGCAAUAUGGAAUGAUGGAAGGAACACAGGAUUUACUGUCAGGCAUUGCUGAGUUUUAAACACAGCUCUACCUCUUACUAGCUUUGUGAAUUUGGGCACCUUAUUGAACUUCAAUGAGCUCGUCUAGGGUCAUGCAUUCUAUGGCUGUCACAAAGAUGGGUCCUUUUUUUCUGUUUCUUCUCUGUCUGCUACAGAACCCAAUAUGGCAUGACACAGGUAACAGUUGCUCAAGUAAGACAUUUAAAGGGAAUGAUAUUUGUGAUGAUAGCAAUAUUGCUACUUGUUCCAUCCAUCAUUUUGUACUCUAUACUGUUAGGCAAUAGGGAAGGGCUGAGGCCCUACCUCUAGGAGUCAGCAAACUUCCUGAAAAGGGCAAGAGAAUAAAACACUUGGACUCUGGAGGCCAGACAGCCUCUGGUGCACGUGCUUAAUUCUAGCAUUGUAGUAUGAAAACAGCCACAGAAAUACGUAGAGGACUGGGAAUGAUUGUGUCCCAAUAAAACUUUUUUCAAAAUAGGCAGAAGACUAGGUUUGGCCUAUGGGCCAAAGUUUGCCAACCCCUAAUGAUAUAAUGGUUCUUGCAGAAAUUAUUUUGGCUUUCUGACAGCAUGACUCUAAGUGUGGUCUGUGGACAGUACACAGACUUUUUAUUAGCAGUCUGCAAUGAGACAAGGAGCUUCACCAGAAGAAACCAACUACAUUAUUCAGCAGAUUGUUUACUUCAGCUGACAUUUUGUUGUGUUUGUUUUCGAAGCAAGACUUCGCCAAUGAAAGAAGUAAUUGAUUUAUAUUCUGGUACAAGCACCUUAUCUAUCACAGACCAGUAGCAAACAGCACAAAAGCACUUUGAGUGGCACUGUUCUAAUCAUUCACCAGGAAACACAGACUGUAUUCUUUAUGAUCACCAAAAACAAGAAUGAAAGCUCAAAACCCAAUUUUCCCUUCUCACCAUUCUCCUUCUUCUCCCAGGAUGUGCCCCUGAUUAGCCUGGCCAACAUCUUGCACAAUGCCAAGCUCUGGAAUGACGCCGUCAUAGUAGCCACCAUGGCAGUAGAGAUCGCACCACACUUUGCUGUGAACCACUUCACUCUGGGCAAUGUCUACGUGGCAAUGGAAGAAUUUGAAAAAGCACUGGUGUGGUAUGAAUCCACAUUGAAGCUUCAGCCCGAGUUUGUCCCGGCCAAGAACCGAAUCCAGACCAUCCAGUGUCACUUAAUGCUGAAGAAGGGACGGCGCUCUCCUUAGUGCACUUCUUCCUUCUCUCUUUCUCUUUACUCAUGCUCUAAAAAAAAAAAAAGAAUAAGAAAAGAAACCAAUCAUUGUCAGUAUCUACUAUUAAUGAUGUGUGUGAAAAUAACUAAGACUUAUAACAGGACUUUUACACAUGUGGGAAUUGGUUUGUUUUUGUUUUUAAGUUUCUCCUUUCCCCCAACCAACCUCAGAAGAGGCACCUUCAGAAACACACAUUUCUUAAAAGGAAAGUGCAGCUUCAAGAUAUUGUGUAAAUACUGAGCCAAGACAUUUCUGGAGCUGUGCUCUGUCUCCAAAAACCUCAAUGCCUUUAGGGCUUUUCUCAGUGGUCCAGCUAGCCUUCUCUUUGGAGGAGGACGAAGCCGCAUUGCACAUUCUCUGCUUCCUGUCGUAGCCUCUGUUGUCAAUGGAAAUGCGGAAGCCCAUCUGGUGCCCGUCAGUGAGAAGCAACGUUCUGCGCUCUCUCUGUUAGACCUCCAUGCUGUCCCCAGUCUUGUCCAUUCCAUGCUGCUAUGUUACAAACUCUCAGAGGUAGUUUGCAGGGGAGGAAGGGGAAUAUGAUUUUAAAAACAAAAUAUUUACAACAACAAAAAUUCUUAGGAUCACCUGACCUUUGUAAUGUUAUUUAUGUUGGGGAGGGAGGGGGGCUGAGAAGGGGAAAUCAGCAGUGUGCAACAUCUUUAUCAUUUGUACUUUAAUUACAAAUCACAAGGAAACCAAUAAGUUGAAAUCCUAUAUAACAGGUUUAUAUAUAUAGAAUAUGUAUAUUUGAAGCCCUCUACAGACUGAGUCUAUGUUUUACUAAUUCUUUGUUCACUGUGUUACCCAUCUUGGAGUAAGUUGUGAAUGUCAGCUCCCUCUCUCUGAGGCCUCCAGACUUAGCUCCUCAGGAGAGUAAUGAGCCAAGGUUGAGUGUUUCCAUACAAUGCUUUUACCUUUGAUCCCAGGAGAAUCAGAAACUCCAACAUUUUGGAAUCUUCAAGGGCACAUACUGAGAAAAAAAAUAAAAUUGUCUAUGAGCAAAAUA
rnacentral:sRNA from 1 species